ACAAACUUGGUCAUUUAGAGGAAGUAAAAGUCGUAACAAGGUUUCCGUAGGUGAACCUGCGGAAGGAUCAUUACCGUGCUCGUCGGGACGUCGCGCCCCCCAAGGCGUGGGUGUCUCGCACCUGCCCAACCGUGUCUACCGUUCCUUUUGUUGCCUCGGCGGGCCGGCCGCGUCAGGGCUGCCCCUGCGGGUGGCUCUGCUGGCCACCGGGGGAUUGCGCGUGCACACGCGACGCCCCUGGUCCGCGUCCGCCAGAGGGACCGUUCCGAACCCUGUGAAAUCUCGUGUGUCGUCUGAGUCGGUUCGCGAAUAUACAGUCAAAACUUUCAACAACGGAUCUCUUGGUUCCGGCAUCGAUGAAGAACGCAGC
rnacentral:misc_RNA from 1 species